UAGUGCCCCAAGGGCCGCAUAAAGGCUGGCAAAGGGCCACAUCUGGCCCUUGGGCCACAGUUUGGAGACCCCUGUCUUAUAUGAUCUGCCUAAUAAAUUAGGCCCUUUUAUAACUUUCAAAACUAAACAUUAAUGUUUGGAUAGAGAGUUAGAAUAAUAAAAAAGAACAAGAGCACUUAUAAUCUACUUUUGUGGGCUUAAUGAGUUUAAAUUCAUGCUGCUUAAGCAUAUCCAAAUAGUAA